AGAUAGCAGUUGCAGUGGGAUGGGCAAUGAGACCCUGGGCUCAGGGAAGUCACUGAGGGUUAAUGUGGCCGGGCAGCCAACGUCACAGCACACGAGGCCCCUGCCACAUCUUACCCACACAUUUCAAGAUCCUGUAUCGCCACAGUGUGUCAUUACUUUGAGACCAUGGACUACUUUCUCAAUUCUUCAGCAGAGAGGUUUUUUCCAAAGCACACAAAUGCUAGUGGUGGAGCUGGUUUAAGGCCAAGAAUCCUCAACUGACAAAGAGCUCAGUAAGCCCUGGGUAGGAUAAAAAAUGCAGGUGUGUCUUGCCCUAAAACAUCUCAGGAUGAAAGAACUCGUUGGAAGUGCCUCUCCAUCCAGAUUUUGUCUAAAGCGUUUAAAGGCGGCUCUCUUUCAACAAUUAAGCUGGUGUGGGAUGGAAGAGCUUUCCUGCAGUUAGGGAAAAACCUUCUCCCUCUUCCUCUUUCCCAGUUCCAGUUGCUUUUGAGUGACAGGCUAACCUGAGCCCUGAAGCCAGAUUCAGAAUUACUAUGGCUUUGAAUUUGAUCUCUUAUUGUUCUAUACUGAAAGAGCAAUAUUCUUUUUGAGAAAGCCUCUCCUAAUUCACCAGUUCCAGAAGGCUGCCUGCUUCCCUGGCCACAGGGGUAGGCUUGGCUGUUACCUUCCCAAAUGGAAAAUGAGGGUGUAGAUUUCAUUGCCCAUUACUGCCCACUUCUCCUGAUCUACCUUUGAUGAUACCAGAGUGGAUUACAUUAUUUGGACUGUGGAAACUCCCAGAGACAGCAUGGAACAACUUGCCUUGUGCACUCCUUGCAGAAAGAGGAGGAUUCCCCUGUUAUUGAUAAGAGAUAAGAGAUGUGGAGGGAGGAGCCAAGAUGGCCGAAUAGGAACAGCUCCGGUCUACAGCUCCCAGCGUGAGCGACGCAGAAG
rnacentral:lncRNA from 10 species